AUCUGUGGUUCAGACUUCAUCAUGGACCCUAGAGGCGAUAAGAGAAUGAAAAAAAGAGUGUGUGUGUAAUUACACAAAAAUCACUCAAAGUGGUUACUGCUCAGUACUGUUCUCUACUUAAUGAUAUCUUACUAGGUAAGCAGAGUUUGUAUUACUAAAAACACAAACCACAGAAUGAAGGAAUGUUAUUAUUUUUCUUUUGUCAUUUUUGGGUGAAAAAAGUAAAAGUAGAGGUGACUUUUCUGAGGUCCGGAACAAAUUGUAAUUUUUCCAUAUAAGAAAUAAUGAAAAUACGUUUGUUUUUUACGGUCUAUGAAUUUUUGCUACACGGAAGGGUUUCUGGGAAGGAGUUACAGGUGGAAGAAGAGGUACAGCUGUUCGCUCCUGCGUAUUCCUCACCCCUUCAGCUCUUCAUCCAUCAGUCCCUGGAAAGCUGCUGCAGCCCCUGUGAUCCAGAAGGCCUGACCUUCAACUGUGUCCUGAGCCCCUUUCCUCGGGGAAAGAGAGCUCUGGGCGAGGUGACAGGGGCUAAGUGUUUAGAUUGCUCAGUCAGUGCUGCCUGCCAGUAUUCUUCACAGAGGUCCAGUGUGCGGAUAUGUGCGGCUUUUCCCAGCCUCUCCCGCACUGGGAAAGUGUCAAACUGGGAUAUUUUAUCAAGUGAGGUAAAGUCCACACAGAACCUUAAACUCCCGUCUGUCUUUGUCCCACAGCUCCGGGACUGGACCGUUCACUCACGAGCGGUCUGUCAUGUCCAGUGUUCACAAGGUCUCUCCUUCUUGUCUCACACCUGUACUAGAUGCACCGGAGCCCUGCGUGUUACGGAAUAUUAAUGAGGACCAGGUGCAGAAAAGUCAGGACAAACUCCAGAGGCGCAGUCGAUUAAACAUACCGAGGUCCGGAAAUCGAAGAGGCUGACGCUGGCCCCCGCUCUGUGAGAGGAUGACCAGCAGAGGAGCGAGCAGGGCCCUGUCACCAUGCUUGAUGUUGCCUGUGCGCUGGCGCUCUGGACAUGUCUGACAGGACUUAUUGAUGUCAUUGCACCAGCCUGGACAAUAAAAUCGUGUGGCAGUUUGAGCCCGGGUUGUUAUCUGGCCCAUAUCCCCUGCCCAGGUACGCCGUGGGGAGAGUACGCAGUGCGCCUCUCCCCGCAGGUGAGCUCUUCCUCCUGUUGAGCUCAGGCACAGCGCCGGCAUCCUCCUGCUGCACUGGACUUCCUGGAUCUCAGCCUCUCUCCCUGCUCCGUGCCUUGUCCUCUCUUUAGGGUGGUGCAGGUCAUCUGCACAGGGAAAGGGAGUGGCUCCAGACUGUUUCUCUCUUUCCAGGAGCUGGUGCUUGCCCCAAGACCUGGUGGUGCCGUGUGCUUGAGGGCUUCUAUCUGAUCAUCUGGAUGAUUCUGCCAGAAUAGCCAGGUGAGUCCUGCCACUUGCUCAGAGGAGACGGGGCUCUGCUCUUCAAUCCAGAUCUUCACAUCCUGUGGCAGCACACACAGGACCUGCUCCAGGACGAAGGCAUCUUCAGUCUCCUCUUCUGAUCAUAACUGUGGCUGCAGCACUUGUUCUAGACAGAAGGAGCCGCUCAGAGUGAGUGGCAGCAGCUGAACUUCUCUCUGACCAUUGAAGAGUGACAGGUGGCUCUGGGGGUGUGUUAGAUAUUAG